UCUCUGUAAAGGACCUCAUACGAGCCAAG
rnacentral:sRNA from 1 species